CCUACGGGAGGCAGCAGUCGGGAAUAUUGCGCAAUGGAGGAAACCCUGAUGCAGCGACGCCGCGUGUGGGAAGACGGUCUUCUGGAUUGUAAACCACUGUCCCCAGGGACGAAAAUGACGGUACCUGGGGAGGAAGCUCCGGCUAACUACGUGCCAGCAGCCGCGGUAAUACGUAGGGAGCAAGCGUUGUCCGGAAUUACUGGGUGUAAAGGGAGCGUAGGCGGGGAUGCAAGUUGGGUGUCAAAACUACCGGCUCAACCGAUAGUCGCACUCAAAACUGCAACUCUUGAGUGAAGUAGAGGCAGGCGGAAUUCCUAGUGUAGCGGUGAAAUGCGUAGAUAUUAGGAGGAACACCAGUGGCGAAGGCGGCCUGCUGGGCUUUUACUGACGCUGAGGCUCGAAAGUGUGGGGAGCAAACAGGAUUAGAUACCCCUGUAGUC
rnacentral:rRNA from 1 species